rnacentral:rRNA from 1 species
GAUGAACGCUGGCGGCGUGCCUAAUACAUGCAAGUCGAGCGAAUGGAUUGAGAGCUUGCUCUUAUGAAGUUAGCGGCGGACGGGUGAGUAACACGUGGGUAACCUGCCCAUAAGACUAGGAUAACUCCGGGAAACCGGGGCUAAUACCGGAUAACAUUUUGAACCGCAUGGUUCGAAAGUGAAAGGCGGCUUCGGCUGUCACUUAUGGAUGGACCCGCGUCGCAUUAGCUAGUUGGUGAGGUAACGGCUCACCAAGGCAACGAUGCGUAGCCGACCUGAGAGGGUGAUCGGCCACACUGGGACUGAGACACGGCCCAGACUCCUACGGGAGGCAGCAGUAGGGAAUCUUCCGCAAUGGACGAAAGUCUGACGGAGCAACGCCGCGUGAGUGAUGAAGGCUUUCGGGUCGUAAAACUCUGUUGUUAGGGAAGAACAAGUGCUAGUUGAAUAAGCUGGCACCUUGACGGUACCUAACCAGAAAGCCACGGCUAACUACGUGCCAGCAGCCGCCGUAA